UCAGCAUUACGCAGCGUAAAGGAUCUUGGUUCCCCUGCUGCAUUCGAGACUACUUUCAGACGCAUGAAUGUUAUGAACGUCACAAGAAUAUUCUGAAACCAGUGCGCUCAUGUGCAGCUUGAGAAGUCGGACCCUGGUGCCUACUAAUAAGUGUGUCUGACUAAGUGUACAGGAGUGUUGAGAUCUCAUGGUGGUGGUCAGUGAGCUCCGGGUGGUCUUUAAAACCCCAGAACAGUCAAGGUCAGACCUUCAACCUCCCUCCAGGAACGUUUCUGCCGACUGCCCUUGUGUUUGUCAGUCCGGUCAAGAGGUUUUCGGGUAAUGAGCUUGUUGUCGAUAAAAGACGGGUCGCAGAUCAUCGUCGGAGCAGCCGCUGCUGGCAUCGACACUGCUGCACAUUCCUGAUGGUUCCCGUUACAGCGGAGAUCUGAAGCAGCUGGAGUUCAACGAGUUUAGUAACCGGUGACUCGAAGGGGCUGGCGUUUGCUUUCAUUCAACUAGUUGGAUGCAGCUCAUUGCAGAUCUUAUGUCCACCGCGAUUUAUUAACCAAUGAUUCAUCGCGGUGAAGGGUAACGUUCAGUGGCUUUAUGAGACUCCACGCUGUCCACGCAUCCUUUUCUCUCCAGACUAAAAAUGCUGCUUUUUCCAAAACGCCCUCCAGAGCUGGGUGGUUGUUGCAGACCCUCCUGCAGUCCCACGUCUUACUGCAGCUGUCGUGCUUAUAGACUACUGAAGAUACUGAUCUGAAUGGGAAGGAUGCAAAGGUGGAAGCAGUCAGUGAUGGAUUUGGUUUCACUCUCUCAAUGGAACACACACACACAUACUGACAUACUGCAUGGUUUUUAAUACUACCUACUUCCCCCUUUCUUUGAGAGGACACAGAUACACCCUGCAUGGGCCCCCGUGGUGAUCUACAUUGUGGUUGGGAAGUACCUAGUUUUACAACUGCCAUG
rnacentral:lncRNA from 1 species